rnacentral:tRNA from 1 species
ACCGGGCUGGCUCAGUUGGUGGAGCAUGUGACUCAUGAUCUCUGAGUUGUGAGUUCAAGUCCCACGCUGGGGG